UCAAUUUUCCCAGGCACUGGGUACAUUCAGAAGGCGAGUGAUUUUCCACGCAACGAUAUGUUGUACAUUGCUCAUAGCUGGACUGCCAGUGACAACCGACAAUAGAUUCAGUAUUGUAAGCAUAAUACAGCGCUUUGAAGGCAGGUGGCAGGGACCUCUCUUUCUCUGUCUUCAGGGCAUUGCAUUUGCAAUGAUUUACAGUAAGCAAAAUUUUAUUCUUGAGUAUAUCUUAACAGAUGCGUUUAUCUUAAUAUAAACCAGUUUGUAUUUAAUGUACAACUAAUACCGUGUAUUUAUAUUUCUUAUUUACUUUUAAUAAUG